rnacentral:sRNA from 1 species
CACACACGGGCCAAUAGGUCUCGGCCGGGAGAAAUCCGGCUGGCGCCUCCGGUGGCGGUUCUCCGCCUGCAGGUUCGUGGAGGUUCAACCGGAAAGGAACUUU